rnacentral:rRNA from 1 species
CUCAGUUCGGAUUGCAGGCUGCAACUCGCCUGCAUGAAGCUGGAAUUGCUAGUAAUCGCGGAUCAGCAAGCCGCGGUGAAUACGUUCCCGGGCCUUGUACACACCGCCCGUCACACCAUGAGAGUCGGGAACACCCGAGGUCCGUAGUCUAACCGCAAGGGGGCGCGGCCGAAGGUGGGUCCGGUAAUUGGGGUGAAGUCGUAACAAGGUAGC